rnacentral:tRNA from 1 species
ACCAGUGUAGCACAGUUGGUUAGUGGCGCAGGACUCAUAACCCUGAGGUCGGUGGUUCGACUCCACCCACUGGUACCA